rnacentral:rRNA from 1 species
AACGAACGCUGGCGGCAUGCCUAACACAUGCAAGUCGAACGAGGUCUUCGGGUCUAGUGGCGCACGGGUGCGUAACGCGUGGGAAUCUGCCCUCAGGUUCGGAAUAACCAUUGGAAACGAUGGCUAAUACCGGAUGAUGACGUUAAGUCCAAAGAUUUAUCGCCUGAGGAUGAGCCCGCGUAGGAUUAGCUAGUUGGUGUGGUAAAGGCGCACCAAGGCGACGAUCCUUAGCUGGUCUGAGAGGAUGAUCAGCCACACUGGGACUGAGACACGGCCCAGACUCCUACGGGAGGCAGCAGUGGGGAAUAUUGGACAAUGGGCGAAAGCCUGGUCCAGCAAUGCCGCGUGAGUGAUGAAGGCCUUAGGGUUGUAAAGCUCUUUUACCCGGGAUGAUAAUGACAGUACCGGGAGAAUAAGCUCCGGCUAACUCCGUG